rnacentral:rRNA from 1 species
AUUGAACGCUGGCGGCAUGCCUAACACAUGCAAGUCGAACGCGAAAGUCCUUCGGGGCGAGUAGAGUGGCGGACGGGUGAGUAAUACGUGGGAAUCUACCUGGUAGUGGGGGACAACCCGGGGAAACCCGGGCUAAUACCGCAUACGUCCUACGGGACAAAGGGGGCCUCUGCUUGCAAGCUCUCGCUACCAGAUGAGCCCACGUCCGAUUAGCUAGUUGGUAGGGUAAAGGCCUACCAAGGCGACGAUCGGUAGCUGGUCUGAGAGGAUGGCCAGCCACACUGGGACUGAGACACGGCCCAGACUCCUACGGGAGGCAGCAGUGGGGAAUAUUGGACAAUGGGCGCAAGCCUGAUCCAGCAAUGCCGCGUGUGUGAAGAAGGC